rnacentral:lncRNA from 7 species
AUGCACACAGCACUAAAAGAAACAAGCAGACUGCGUAGGGAGGCAAAUACAUAUAUAUAUAUUUAUCUAUAUAUAUAGGUAUAGCUAUAGAACAAAACUAUGGGAAGGGGGGGGGACAGACAGAAACCGGGGGGGGAGUGGAGAGGCCGCUGGUCCCUAAAGUUGGAGCUCCGUAGAAGGACUGCGCUGAAUUAAGGGAGCAGCGAGAGGAAGGGAAACCGUUCGGGGCUGUCAGAGUCCCGCUGCUGAUGGCUGCCAAUCAUCACGGAAGAGUCAUUAAAAAAAGAAAAAAAAAAACAGAACAAAACAAAACAAAAAAAAAUUAAAAAAAAAUCCACUGCUAAUAUUUUUUUUAUUAAUAUUUUUAUUUUUUAUUUCUGGACUGAUUCAGAUAAAGGGAUUUAGAAGGACUGAGCAUCUGCAGCUGCACUUAUCUGAACUUCUCCUCUCCUAAAUCCGUUGCCAACUUUGAUUGAAUGGGUGCUGUGGAUGUGAUUAUAUAAUACUGCCAUUUCCAAGCAGUGUUUUUGGUAGGUUUUAAUAAACAGACUUUUCAAAAAGACGGCAAUAUAGAAUUGUUAGAUCCGUUGUUGAUCUAAAAAAAAAAAAAAAAAAAAAAAAAAUUUGCUUUAUAUUUUCAUUAAAUGACUUCUUUUAAUAUUUUAUUCAGAAUACCUAUGAACUGCUGCAAAACGGUAAUUUAUUUUUUCCCCAGAUCUUGUAUUACGUGUUUUUUUCAGACGAGCACAAAUCAAAAUGAAAUGAAACUAUGGACAGUUGUUAGGUAAUAAGGGUAUCUUUUGAUGUGAUAAUUUGAUUGUAAUUUAAUUUGAGUAGUGAUUCCGUAAGAGCCGAUUGAGAAAAUAAAUUUGUUAG